GACAUUGUCCAGCGGUACAACAUCUCCGCAAUGCCGACAUUCAUUUUUUUGAAAAAUCGCCAGCAAGUCGACAUGGUCCGCGGAGCCAAUCAGCAGGCAAUUGCCGAAAAAAUUCGGCAACACUAUUCGCCAACUCCGGCAAAUCCCAACGCGGCUUCUGACUCGGAAAAGCGAUUUUUGGAGCAAUUUGUCAAAUGUUCGAACGUACCGAGAAGCUAUCAGGAUGAGGUGUUCAAGGCUCUGGCGAGAAGUGUUAUGCCUGAGGAGCUGGUGGGAAGAGCCAUGACCGAGGGGCCGAGGGAUGAGAAGGCGAUUUUGAAAGGUGCAAGAAGAAAAUCGAGAAAAUCGAAUUCCCUAUCGAUUGGUUUUUUCGGAUCGCGAAAAUGUUGAUUUUCAGCCGAGUUAUAGCCGAUUUUUAGUUUGUGGCCUAGAAAUCCAAACCUAGGCCACACUACCUCAAACUUCAGAUAGACUUCGAAAUUUCCUAUCGGAUGGCUUUUGGUUUUUAGUCCAUUUGAAAAUAUCAAUUUUCCGCGAAGUUACAGCGUUUUUAAGUUCGUGGCCGAGGAUUUUCCUAGGCCACCAACUUCAAUUCACCGUGACUCGGCGAAAAAUUGGAAUUUUUGAAUUCUGAAUAAUUUUGUGAUAUCAGCACGAGUUGAAAAAGAAGAAAGGAAAGAUAAAAUUAAUACUUUCAGUACAUGGCCUAGGUUUGGGUUUCUAGGCCACCGCCAGAAAAAGUUAGGCCAUAACAUUGAAAAGUCGAUUUUUUGCGGAAUUCCUGUACUUCCUGUACCAGUUUGAUUUUAUUUCAUUUAAGAAUAUCGAUUUUCCACCGAGUUACAGCGUUUUUUGGUUGGUGGCCUAGGAAACUCCUAGGCCACCAACCUUAAUUCACCGUAACUUGGCGGAAAAUUCACUUUUUUCAAUUCUGAAAAGUGAUUUGACAUCAGCACGAGUCAAUCAAACAUACAAAUUUGAUACAUUCAGUGUUUCCUCGGUUUAGAUUUCUAGGCCACCGCCGGAAAAAGUUAGGCCACGAAUAUAAAAAGUCGAUUUUUCGCCAAAUUUUCAUCGAACUUCGAUAACACCCAUCAUUUGGAUUAUGUUUCAUUUGAAAAUAUCGAUUUUCCAUCAAGUUACGUUGAUUUUAAGUUGGUGGCCGAGGAGUUUCCUAGGCCACCAACUUAAAUUUACAGUAACUCGGCUGAAAAUUGGAAUUUUUGAAUUCUGAAAAGUUAUUUGAUAUCAACAAAAGCCGAUAAUUUGAUAUAUUGAGUGCGUGGCCUAGUUUUGGAUUUCUAGGCCACCAAAUAAAAAGUUAGGCCAUCAGUUUAAGACGUAAAUUUUCGCUUAUUUUACAGUAAAUUCCAAUACUUUAUGUCAAAUCUAAUUCUGCGCCAUACAAAAAUAAAAAUUUUAAGACAAUUUAACAUGUUUUUAAACUAGUGGCCUAGGAAAAUCCUCGGCCACCAACUUAAAAUCGCCGUAACUCGGCGGAAAAUUCACAUUUUUCAAUUCUGAAAAAUGAUCUGAUGUCAGCGAAAGCCUAGUAAGCCUAUAAUUUGAUAUAUUCACUUUAUAGCCUAGUUUUGGAUUUCUAGGCCACCAAUUGAAAAGUUAGGCCAUGACUUUAAAAACUCAAUUUUCGCGCGGGUUUUAACUAAUUUUUCAAUUUUUCAGACCUUCUCCACUGGUUUAAAACUCAAUUUUUCACUUGGUUCGACCGUCCAACAUGUCCCAAAUGCACCCUAAAAUGCUCAACCGACGGGCUCCAAGGGACUCCAACUCGGGAAGAGCAAAAAGAGGGCGGAGCCUCACGUGUUGAAGUUUACAUUUGUGAUGGAUGUAAUACGGAAAUGCGAUUCCCGAGAUAUAAUAAUCCGGCGAAAUUGUUGCAGACGAG
rnacentral:sRNA from 1 species